rnacentral:rRNA from 1 species
AGUGAACGCUGGCGGUAGGCCUAACACAUGCAAGUCGAACGGCAGCACAGUAAGAGCUUGCUCUUACGGGUGGCGAGUGGCGGACGGGUGAGGAAUACAUCGGAAUCUACUUUUUCGUGGGGGAAAACGUAGGGAAACUUACGCUAAUACCGCAUACGACCUACGGGUGAAAGCAGGGGAUCUUCGGACCUUGCGCGAUUGAAUGAGCCGAUGUCGGAUUAGCUAGUUGGCGGGGUAAAGGCCCACCAAGGCAACGAUCCGUAGCUGGUCUGAGAGGAUGAUCAGCCACACUGGAACUGAGACACGGUCCAGACUCCUACGGGAGGCAGCAGUGGGGAAUAUUGGACAAUGGGCGCAAGCCUGAUCCAGCCAUACCGCGUGGGUGAAGAAGGCCUUCGGGUUGUAAAGCCCUUUUGUUGGGAAAGAAAAGCAGCAGGUUAAUACCCCGCUGUUCUGACGGUACCCAAAGAAUAAGCACCGGCUAACUUCGUG